rnacentral:misc_RNA from 1 species
AUAUCAAACUUCACAGUUGCUUCAGCUAAUGAUAAUAUCUGUGUGAAAAAAGCUGCUCCUAUAGUUGGUUCCUGGUUAUCGAAGAACUGGCCCUUGAUGAAUCUUAAUACCAAACUGGUUUUCCCAGUUCCCAUGUCCCCCAGAAGCACCAGCUUGGCUUGUAUGAUCCUGUUGCCAGGCCUAGUCAUUGCNNNNNNGGAAUUAUCAAAGUAAAGAAAAAGUGUCAGACUGAGAGAUUGGGAUAUGGUUGUAUACAAUAUAAG